rnacentral:rRNA from 1 species
CCUACGGGAGGCUGCAGUGGGGAAUAUUGGACAAUGGGGGCAACCCUGAUCCAGCCAUGCCGCGUGUGUGAAGAAGGCCCUCGGGUUGUAAAGCACUUUCAGUGAGGAAGAACGCCUGGUGGUUAAUACCCAUCAGGAAAGACAUCACUCACAGAAGAAGCACCGGCUAACUCCGUGCCAGCAGCCGCGGUAAUACGGAGGGUGCGAGCGUUAAUCGGAAUUACUGGGCGUAAAGCGCGCGUAGGUGGCUUGAUAAGCCGGUUGUGAAAGCCCCGGGCUCAACCUGGGAACGGCAUCCGGAACUGUCAAGCUAGAGUGCAGGGGAGGAAGGUAGAAUUCCCGGUGUAGCGGUGAAAUGCGUAGAGAUCGGGAGGAAUACCAGUGGCGAAGGCGGCCUUCUGGACUGACACUGACACUGAGGUGCGAAAGCGUGGGUAGCAAACAGGAUUAGAUACCCCUGUAGUC